GAUAAGAACGCAGCGAAAUGCGAUAAGUAAUGUGAAUUGCAGAAUUCAGUGAAUCAUCGAAUCUUUGAACGCACAUUGCGCCCUCUGGUAUUCCGGGGGGCAUGCCUGUUCGAGCGUCAUUAUAACCACUCAAGCUCUCGCUUGGUAUUGGAGUUCGCGAUCUCGCGGCUCCUAAAAUCAGUGGCGGUGCCUGUCGGCUCUACGCGUAGUAAUACUCCUCGCGAUUGAGUCCGGUAGGUUUACUUGCCAGCAACCCCCAAUUUUUACAGGUUGACCUCGGAUCAGGUAGGGAUACCCGCUGAACUUAAGCAUAUCAAUAAGCGGAGGA
rnacentral:misc_RNA from 1 species